ensembl:lincRNA
GACAGGUCAAACGUUGCCCUCACAGAGCCACUAGAAAUGACUCUGAAUUUCCUGCCACAGUAUGGAAAGCAAGUUGGAAGGAUUACCACCUCAAGUUUGGAGGGGUGCAUUUAACGCAUGGCUAGAGCCCAGAAGCAAAGAGGUAAGCAAAAUGGGUAGUUUGGGGUUUUAUAUAAUAAAAGAAAUGUUGGUGUUGUUAAUGUCUUUCAUACACAUUAUAUUAAAAUUCCAAUGAAACGUGGGCAAGGGUCAGCAGUCAAUUAAAAAGGAAAGCUGAAAAAAAAAAAAAAAAGGAAAGCUGCAAAUGCCCAAGUUAAAUACUAAACUAACUGCACAUUGAACGUAGGCAAAAUUAAGUUUAAAUUACAGUCUAACCAUGCACAGGUGCUGGGAAACUUAGGAUUUUAGCGCUGCAGGGAGAGCAUGCCCAAAGAUUCAAAUAGAUUCAGUUCUCAUAAAUCCACAGAAGCCACGUGAUCAGCAAGAACGAAGGUUCUAGAGACGUGAACGCCGGCGCUCGAACACUAGCUUGCCUACAGAUGCUUCCUGUCCCAUCGGCAGGCUGAGCACGACCUGAGGUUUCUGACGCACAGAUUCAGCAACCCCCCACCCCAGGAUCACGGUGGAGAGACGGAAGACACCGGCCUCUGGCGCAUCGCCCACAGCAGGUUACGUAAUCAUCACUAACCCGAGCUGGUUAGUGUAAGACUCUGUGAAAUCAAAGCCGAAAGCAGCCAAAAUCAAUAUGCGGCCCGGUCCAAGCCAGCUUGGCCAAUGUUUCCCUAACGUUCACAUUCCACAGACAAAGACAAGAGCAAUAAAACGGGGCAGGCUCGUGUUUGCGACCAUCGCUCCCCUGUAUCUGUUACAGGAUUUCAUUUUCACUGUGGCCAGCACGUGAGACAUGAAGUGACACAAGCCGCGGGCCCUGGCGGACAAGUGCCUGCUUGCCGGUCUCCUGGGGGCCCACUGUUUUCUCUUCCGAAUUGUUGCAAGAUCUCCCUAAGCAAACACCUGGAAUCCCACCCGCUCCAGAAGUCAGGAAUACGAGGACCAGGCAAUGCAUUUGCUAAGCAUUGUAUGCUUCUAUUCCCAGAAGACAGGGCACGGGACAGAACACUCUGUCAAAUAAACAAUUGCCCAAGGUCUUGGGCAAGAGAAAUUGGGACAGGAAACACGGUGGACUCUUCGCCCCAGAUGCUGGACAGAGCCCCGGGGAGGACAUGGAGGCCAGGUGCUGACUACCAAGGACACUUCAUGCUGGCUCCCAGAGCGAUGAGGUGAGCCAGCUUCGGUUGCCCACACAGAAUGAGCCUGAAUGUAGGCACCACCCCCAUGUGACCAGCUGCUGGCUCACCUGGAAACCCCCAGCAUCCUUCCUGGAGCUUGGAAAACAGGAAGUGAGAGACACCCCGCCCCAAAGGGGGGCUCCCGCUGCACAUCCAUAAACCUGGCCUCCCGCCUCCGUCCCCAGCCCACCUGGCUGGCUUCCUGCUCCCACCUUGGCUUCAGAGUGACAUCUUCAGAGGGUCCUCUGGCCCUGUCACAGCUUGUCUUCUGAGGGCAGCCACCGUUACAACUGGGGUUCCAAAGCCUGGUGCAUAGUAGGUGCUCAAUAAAUGCAUACAUGCUGA